rnacentral:lncRNA from 14 species
UACAGGAUCAACAGCCUACACAGCCAUGGAUGACCCAGGCUCAUUGAAUUUUGGCAUCGGACUGCAAGAGCAGAUGAAUCCUUCCCUAUGAAGCUGUGGUAUUAUCUAACAAGACUUUUAAGAUACGAGAACAGGCCAUCCCAAGCCAUUGAUGGAAGCCAAACACUUGGAGCACAAAUGAAACGUGACUGGACAUGGGUUUCUCUUAGUCAAGCAUCCUGGGAGCCUAGAACCGCAAGUUCUCACUGCAUCCCAGAGCAGGGCUGGAACUGCCAUUAUGGACCAAACUGUGUAUCGCCAACAGGAUCACACUCACACAGAACUGUUGUUCAGCUACACAGCUGCACUGAAGAAACUAAUGUUCUCUUGUUUAGUCGUACUCCAACUGUCUUUACUCAUGGAGAGCAAUGGAAAGUCUCCAACAGUGAGAAUGAUGCUGUUAUAUCACGUGAGGGACAAGGACGACAAGAAAAGCCAGGCAGAGAGUGCAUCCUUCUUGAAGCUGUGAGGAGCCACAUCUCUCUACAUUACUGUACUAAGGUGCGUGGCAAGAGAAGAAAAUGGGCCAACAACAGAUCUCCCAUAAGCCCUCCAUUUCUUGCUGAAUUCCAUCUGCACAAUGACACAAGAGGUACUGACGUCCAGUGGCUAUUUCAUCCACUGGUCCUGCAAGUUCUGCAGACAGCUUUUCUAUUACUGUCUCUGCUAGAGAACGACCUCUCUUCUUCACAUCAUCUGAUCCAUUCCUGUUUUUCCAUUCAGGGGAUGGUCUAGAAGCUAUACAAAAUCACUGAGAUUCGGG